rnacentral:rRNA from 1 species
CCUACGGGACGCAGCAGUAGGGAAUCUUCGGCAAUGGACGAAAGUCUGACCGAGCAACGCCGCGUGAGUGAAGAAGGUUUUCGGAUCGUAAAACUCUGUUGUUAGAGAAGAACAAGGACGUUAGUAACUGAACGUCCCCUGACGGUAUCUAACCAGAAAGCCACGGCUAACUACGUGCCAGCAGCCGCGGUAAUACGUAGGUGGCAAGCGUUGUCCGGAUUUAUUGGGCGUAAAGCGAGCGCAGGCGGUUUCUUAAGUCUGAUGUGAAAGCCCCCGGCUCAACCGGGGAGGGUCAUUGGAAACUGGGAGACUUGAGUGCAGAAGAGGAGAGUGGAAUUCCAUGUGUAGCGGUGAAAUGCGUAGAUAUAUGGAGGAACACCAGUGGCGAAGGCGACUCUCUGGUCUGUAACUGACGCUCAGGUGCGAAAGCGUGGGGAGCAAACAGGAUUAGAUACCCGCGUAGUC